UACGGGGGGGGCAAGCGUUGUUCGGAAUUACUGGGCGUAAAGGGCUCGUAGGUGGCCAACUAAGUCAGACGUGAAAUCCCUCGGCUUAACCGGGGAACGGCGUCUGAUACUGGAUGGCUUGAGUUCGGGAGAGGGAUGCGGAAUUCCAGGUGUAGCGGUGAAAUGCGUAGAUAUUCGGAAGAACACCAGUGGCGAAGGCGACUCGCUGGACAAGUAUUGACGCUGAGGUGCGAAAGCGUGGGGAGCAAACAGG
rnacentral:rRNA from 1 species